CUUGGAUAAUAUGUCUCUGCCGAAACAGCGGGGGAGAGAGCUUGAGCGUUUCGAUGGACUGUCGCUCAUUUACUGAAAAGGUGUGCUGGAUGGAAUGGUCUUAUCCCUCUGACACUGUGAGAAUCAGCUCCAUUCUUCCUUGUCAGAAGACGUGGAUCCUGAAGCAGAAUGCUGACUUGUUUUGCCCCCAGGGAAAUUUGCUUGUUGGUGCUAUUUUCUUCUCUCCCUGUUAAACUAUUGAUGUUUCUUUUCUUAGCUGACUAGUCUGUUGUGUCUGUUUAGGAGUAUCAAAAGUGUCAGACACUAUUUUUUCAUUAGAAGUGAGAAGAUAUAAGUGAUCUGCUGAUGUAUGCUCUAACAGUUGUAAUAGGCUGAGACUAGCUCAAUGCCUUUUGUUCAACUAAAGGUUAAUUAAGUGAUUAAGGAAAUCUUCACUCAUGCAUUUCAGUGUCCAUUUUGUCCCUAGGAUGUGAUUGUCUAGAAUUCACCUCAUUUGUAUUUAAAUGUUACCUCUUUUCAAAAAAUUGGAAAGA